UACUCGUCCAGGGUCGGGGGCUUUAAACAGGGGCUGGCCUGUACCCAGUGUUCCCCAAGCCCUAACUGCCACCAACCCGAGAGGAGACUGCCACAGUGCCACAGUGAGGUGGUGAAGGCUGCCUGGGCCCCAUGAUAGGGAGGAAAGGGCUCAAGCAGACUUCAGGACAUAGCCACUUCCAGGCCUGCACACUUCCGGGCACUCAUCGAAAUGCAGCCAGAGGAACAUCAUUCCCACACUAGCCCCAGAGGAGGCAAGAACUUCAGGAUGCAGGAUGUAGCUGUGUGCACGUAGAGCUGCUGUGAUUCUUUGUGCAUGGGAAUGCCUGGGUAUGUGCAUUUUUGUGUUCUACACGUAGAUCUCAUGCAUA